rnacentral:rRNA from 1 species
CAGCUCCAAUAGCGUAUAUUAAAAUUGUUGCAGUUAAAAAGCUCGUAGUUGAAUUUCUGCUAAAAAUAACCGGUCUGCUUUUAAUAAAGGUGGUAUCUUGGUGUGUUUUUAGCAAUAAUGUCCUUUGAAAUGUUUUUUACUUCAUUGUAAUAAAUUAUWUUCAGGAUUUUUACUUUGAGAAAAUUAGAGUGUUUCUAGCAGGCUAACGCUUUGAAUACUGCAGCAUGGAAUAAUAAAAUAGGAUUUUGGUUCUACAUUAUUGGUUUUAAGAGCUAAAUUAAUGAUUGAUAGGGACAGUUGGGGGCAUUUGUAUUUAACUGUCAGAGGUGAAAUUCUU